rnacentral:rRNA from 1 species
UACAGGGGGGGCAAGCGUUGUUCGGAAUUACUGGGCGUAAAGGGUUCGUAGGUGGCCACUUAAGUCAGACGUGAAAUCCCUCAGCUUAACUGGGGAACUGCGUCUGAUACUGAGUGGCUUGAGUGCAGGAGAGGAACGCGGAAUUCCAGGUGUAGCGGUGAAAUGCGUAGAUAUCUGGAGGAACACCGGUGGCGAAGGCGGCGUUCUGGACUGUAACUGACACUGAGGAACGAAAGCCAGGGGAGCAAACGGG